rnacentral:rRNA from 1 species
UACGGAGGGUGCAAGCGUUAUCCGGAUUCACUGGGUUUAAAGGGUGCGUAGGCGGGCUUUUAAGUCAGUGGUGAAAUCUCCGGGCUCAACCCGGAAAUUGCCAUUGAUACUAUUAGUCUUGAAUUAAGUUGAGGUGGGCGGAAUGUGUCAUGUAGCGGUGAAAUGCUUAGAUAUGACACAGAACACCGAUUGCGAAGGCAGCUCGCUAAACUUAUAUUGACGCUGAGGCACGAAAGCGUGGGGAGCAAACAGG